rnacentral:rRNA from 1 species
AUUGAACGCUGGCGGCAUGCCUUACACAUGCAAGUCGAACGGUAACGCGGGGCAACCUGGCGACGAGUGGCGAACGGGUGAGUAAUGUAUCGGAACGUGCCCAGUUGUGGGGGAUAACUGCUCGAAAGAGCAGCUAAUACCGCAUACGACCUGAAGGUGAAAGCGGGGGAUCGCAAGACCUCGCGCAAUUGGAGCGGCCGAUAUCAGAUUAGGUAGUUGGUGGGGUAAAGGCUCACCAAGCCAACGAGCUGUAGCUGGUCUGAGAGGACGACCAGCCACACUGGGACUGAGACACGGCCCAGACUCCUAAGGGAGGCAGCAGUGGGGAAUUUUGGACAAUGGACGCAAGUCUGAUCCAGCCAUGCCGCGUGAGGGAAGAAGGCCUUCGGGUUGUAAACCGCUUUUGUCAGGGAAGAAACGCUCUGGGUUAAUACCUCGGGGUAAUGACGGUACCUGAAGAAUAAGCACCGGCUAACUACGUGCCAGCAGCCGCGGUAAUAC